rnacentral:tRNA from 1 species
GAAAUAUUAAAAAGCAAGCUUCUAACUUGUCCUUAAAGCGAUUAUUUUCGUUUAUAUUUCU